AUUUAACGCUGGCGGCAUGCUUUACACAUGCAAGUCGAACGGUAACAGGCCUUCGGGUGCUGACGAGUGGCGAACGGGUGAGUAAUGCAUCGGAACGUACCCAGAGGUGGGGGAUAACGCAGCGAAAGCUGUGCUAAUACCGCAUGUGAUCUGAGGAUGAAAGCGGGGGACCGAGCAGCAAUGUUUGGCCUCGCGCCUUUGGAGCGGCCGAUGUCGGAUUAGCUAGUUGGUGGGGUAAAGGCCUACCAAGGCGACGAUCCGUAGCUGGUCUGAGGGGACGACCAGCCACACUGGGACUGAGACACGGCCCAGACUCCUACGGGAGGCAGCAAUGGGGAAUUUUGGACAAUGGGCGCAAGCCUGAUCCAGCAAUGCCGCGUGCGGGAAGAAGGCCUUCGGGUUGUAAACCGCUUUUGGCAGGAACGAAACGGUGUCCGCUAAUACCGGGCGCUAAUGACGGUACCUGCAGAAUAAGCACCGGCUAACUACGUG
rnacentral:rRNA from 1 species